UGACCGGAAACAUUGUUUGAGGGUCUAUUCGCUGGGAUAUCACAGUCUGUUGCAACAUAUUUUCGGUCAUGUUAUGGCUGCAAUUGGAGGAAACAAUGCUGGUCCAGGUGCCCCUAUUAAGGUGAGGAGACCUAGUGCUUACAACCCAUCCCGUGCUGCAACACUUGGUCCAAGCCAGCCCAAUC